UACAGAGGGAGCAAGCGUUGUUCGGAAUUACUGGGCGUAAAGGGCGCGUAGGUGGCCUCGCAAGUCCUGUGUGAAAUCCCUCGGCUCAACUGGGGAACUGCACAGGAAACUGCGAGGCUUGAGUUCGGGAGAGGGACGCGGAAUUCCGGGUGUAGCGGUGAAAUGCGUAGAUAUCCGGAGGAACACCGGAGGCGAAGGCGGCGUCCUGGACCGACACUGACACUGAGGCGCGAAAGCUAGGGGAG
rnacentral:rRNA from 1 species